rnacentral:rRNA from 1 species
UACGUAGGGUGCGAGCGUUAAUCGGAAUUACUGGGCGUAAAGCGUGCGCAGGCGGUUAUUUAAGUCAGGUGUGAAAGCCCUGGGCUUAACCUAGGAAUUGCGCUCGAAACUACGUGGCUGGAGUGUGGCAGAGGAAGGUGGAAUUCCACGUGUAGCGGUGAAAUGCGUAGAGAUGUGGAGGAACACCGAUGGCGAAGGCAGCCUUCUGGGCCAACACUGACGCUCAUGCACGAAAGCGUGGGGAGCAAACAGG